CAGUACUCCUACGGGAGGCAGCAGUGGGAAUAUUGCACAAUGGGGGAAACCUGAUGCAGCCAUGCCGCGUGUGUGAAGAAGGCCUUCGGGUUGUAAAGCACUUUCAGUAGGGAGGAAGGUAGUGUAGUUAAUAGCUGCAUUAUUUGACGUUAGCGACAGAAGAAGCACCGGCUAACUCCGUGCCAGCAGCCGCGGUAAUACGGAGGGUGCGAGCGUUAAUCGGAAUUACUGGGCGUAAAGCGCAUGCAGGUGGUUUGUUAAGUCAGAUGUGAAAGCCCGGGGCUCAACCUCGGAAUUGCAUUUGAAACUGGCAGACUAGAGUACUGUAGAGGGGGUAGAAUUUCAGGUGUAGCGGUGAAAUGCGUAGAGAUCUGAAGGAAUACCAGUGGCGAAGGCGGCCCCCCUGGACAGAUACCGACACUCAGAUGCGAAAGCGUGGGGAGCAAACAGGAUUAGAUACCCUGGUAG
rnacentral:rRNA from 1 species